GAGUUUGAUCGUGGCUCAGAUUGAACGCUGGCGGCAUGCCUUACACAUGCAAGUCGAACGGCAGCACGGGAGCUUGCUCCUGGUGGCGAGUGGCGAACGGGUGAGUAAUGCAUCGGAACGUAUCCUGGAGUGGGGGAUAACGUAGCGAAAGUUACGCUAAUACCGCAUAUUCUGUGAGCAGGAAAGCGGGGGACCUUCGGGCCUCGCGCUCUUGGAGCGGCCGAUGUCGGAUUAGCUAGUUGGUGAGGUAAAGGCUCACCAAGGCGACGAUCCGUAGCAGGUCUGAGAGGAUGAUCUGCCACACUGGAACUGAGACACGGUCCAGACUCCUACGGGAGGCAGCAGUGGGGAAUUUUGGACAAUGGGGGCGAACCCUGAUCCAGCCAUGCCGCGUGAGUGAAGAAGGCC
rnacentral:rRNA from 1 species